rnacentral:rRNA from 1 species
GACGAACGCUGGCGGCGUGCUUAACACAUGCAAGUCGAACGGAAAGGCCCUGCUUUUGUGGGGUGCUCGAGUGGCGAACGGGUGAGUAACACGUGAGUAACCUGCCCUUGACUUUGGGAUAACUUCAGGAAACUGGGGCUAAUACCGGAUAGGAGCUCCUGCUGCAUGGUGGGGGUUGGAAGGUUUCGGCGGUUGGGGAGGGACUCGCGGCUUAUCAGCUUGUUGGUGGGGUAGUGGCUUACCAAGGCUUUGACGGGUAGCCGGCCUGAGAGGGUGACCGGCCACAUUGGGACUGAGAUACGGCCCAGACUCCUACGGGAGGCAGCAGUGGGGAAUAUUGCACAAUGGGCGGAAGCCUGAUGCAGCAACGCCGCGUGCGGGAUGACGGCCUUCGGGUUGUAAACCGCUUUCGCCUGUGACGAAGCGUGAGUGACGGUAAUGGGUAAAGAAGCACCGGCUAACUACGUG